AUGGAACGGAAGGAGAUCAUGGAGCUCGGCAGCGGCGAGCCGAAGGAGAUCACGGACCUCGUCAGGGGCAAGCCGAUGGAGACCAUAGCCCUCGGCAGCGGCAAGCUCCAUGACUAUCCGUUCGUGAGGCGGCUCCGCAACCGGCGGCUCCUCGUCUACCUCUGGCUCCAGGGCUUCGACGCCGGUUACGAUAGGCUGCACUUGCGGCAGCUGGUGGUCUGGGGCCGGUGGAGCGAAGCCCUCGACUACAUAAGUCGCUUCCUGCCGCCGGCGCUGAACGACUGGAGCCUCGAUGCCCGUUCCCUCCUCUUCUUCCUCCACGAGCUGUGGGCUCUGGCCAACUUCGCCGCCGCCGCGUGCUCAACGGACGGCCUCGACUCUGUGCGCGGCGACCUCAGCUUCCUGAGGACCCUUGCCAGUACCAACGCCAAGCUCUCCUCCAUCCUACGAUACACACUCCACUCGCCGCAAUUCAGGGCGUCUCUGGACUGGAUGCUGGUGAGGAAGAAGGCAUCGUUGAUUGUUGACCACUGGGCUCUUGAGACUCCGGAAUUGAGGCGCAAGUUGCAAUUGCCCGGUGGCCCAGGUCUCCCGCAGAACUUGCUUCCCAUCGGCCCCCUUUGUCCAAGGCGUCACUGGAGGGAACAAUCCCGGCGGGCGAAAGCAUCGACGAUUGCCAAGUCCUAUCUCAACAGGAAGAGGAGCCUGCCGCCUCCAAGCCCAUAUCCUGAAGGAUUGCCCGAAGAUGCACUCAGCCGGGUGGCGGAUCUUAUUGAGGGAUGUUUAAGAGCUGGUAAACUUCCGGAGCUCCAUCAAGGGCGCCCGCUUCAAUCAAAUGCAAAGGAAGGUGCUUCUGGUUCUCCACUUUUGCAGACCAUGUUUAGUACCGUGACAAAUCCUUCUAAAAACCCUGGGAUCUCAUCAGUGACAAAUGCAGGCCCAAUCAAGCAUUCUGUUGGAAGGAAAAGGAUUUCAGGAGAAGUUUUGAUGACUGCCGAGGAAGAUAAUCCUGAUAGGAAAAGGCAACUUACUGAACUGGUGGAAGCUGGAUCUUGCAGCGCCAAGUUGAUGGCUAACUGA
rnacentral:rRNA from 1 species